AGGGUUCGAUUAAGCCAUGCGAGUCGAGAGGGUUCGGCCCUCGGCGUACUGCUCAGUAACACGUGGAUAUUCUGCCCUAGGGAAGGGGAUAAUCCCGGGAAACUGGGGAUAAUACCCUAUAGGUUACAGAUGCUGGAAUGCUCUGUAAUCAAAAGUUCCGGCGCCCUAGGAUGGAUCUGCGGCCGAUUAGGUUGUUGUUGGGGUAAUGGCCCAACAAGCCAGUAAUCGGUACGGGUUGUGGGAGCAAGAGCCCGGAGUUGGAUUCUGAGACACGAAUCCAGGCCCUACGGGGCGCAGCAGGCGCGAAAACUUUACAAUGCGGGCAACCGUGAAAAGGGAACCUCUAGUGCCUGUAAAUGCAGGCUGUUCAGAUGCCUAAAACACAUCUGGAGAAAGGGCCGGGCAAGACCGGUGCCAGCCGCCGCGGUAAUACCGGCGGCUCGAGUGGUGGCCACUUUUAUUGGGCUUAAAGCGUUCGUAGCUGGGUUGUUAAGUUCUCUUGGGAAAUCUGGCGGCUUAACCGUCCGGCGUCUAAGGGGAUACUGGCAAUCUUGGAACCGGGAGAGGUGAGGGGUACUUCGGGGGUAGGAAUGAAAU
rnacentral:rRNA from 1 species